rnacentral:rRNA from 1 species
AUUGAACGCUGGCGGCAUGCCUUACACAUGCAAGUCGAACGGCAGCACGGGUGCUUGCACCUGGUGGCGAGUGGCGAACGGGUGAGUAAUACAUCGGAACGUACCUUAUCGUGGGGGAUAACGCAGCGAAAGCUGUGCUAAUACCGCAUACGCCCUGAAGGGGAAAGCGGGGGAUCGAAAGACCUCGCGCGAUUAGAGCGGCCGAUGCCUGAUUAGCUUGUUGGUGGGGUAAAAGCCCUCCAAGGGGACGAUCAGUAGCUGGUCUGAGAGGACGAUCAGCCACACUGGGACUGAGACACGGCCCAGACUCCUACGGGAGGCAGCAGUGGGGAAUUUUGGACAAUGGGGGCAACCCUGAUCCAGCAAUGCCGCGUGAGUGAAGAAGGCCUUCGGGUUGUAAAGCUCUUUUGUCAGGGAAGAAACACCGGCUCUAACACAGUCCGGGAAUGACGGUACCUGAAGAAUAAGCACCGGCUAACUACGUGCCAGCCGCCGCGGUAA